CAACUCGCCUACAUGAAGUCGGAAUUGCUAGUAAUGGCAGGUCAGCAUACUGCCGUGAAUACGUUCCCGGGCCUUGUACACACCGCCCGUCACACCAUGAGAGUCGGGAACACCCGAAGUCCGUAGCCUGACCGCAAGGGGGCGUGGCCGAAGGUGGGUUCGAUAAUUGGGGUGAAGUCGUAACAAGGUAGC
rnacentral:rRNA from 1 species